rnacentral:rRNA from 1 species
CGUCCAGACUCCUACGGGAGGCAGCAGUGGGGAAUAUUGCACAAUGGGGGAAACCCUGACGCAGCAACGCCGCGUGCGGGAUGACGGCCUUCGGGUUGUAAACCGCUUUCAGUAGGGACGAAUUUUGACGGUACCUACAGAAGAAGCCCCGGCUAACUACGUGCCAGCAGCCGCGGUAAUACGUAGGGAGCAAGCGUUGUCCGGAAUUACUGGGCGUAAAGGGCGCGUAGGUGGGCGCUUAAGUCAGGUGUGAAAACUCCGGGCUCAACCUGGAGACUGCACUUGAAACUGGGUGUCUUGAGGGCAGGAGAGGAAAGUGGAAUUCCUAGUGUAGCGGUGAAAUGCGUAGAUAUUAGGAGGAACACCAGUGGCGAAGGCGACUUUCUGGACUGUACCUGACGCUGAGGCGCGAAAGCGUGGGUAGCGAACGGGAUUAGAUACCCUCGUA